rnacentral:rRNA from 1 species
GACGAACGCUGGCGGCGUGCUUAACACAUGCAAGUCGAACGGAAAGGCCCUGCUUUUGUGGGGUGCUCGAGUGGCGAACGGGUGAGUAACACGUGAGUAACCUGCCCUUGUCUUUGGGAUAACUUCUGGAAACUGGGGCUAAUACCGGAUAGGAGCUCCUGCUGCAUGGUGGGGGUUGGAAAGUUUCGGCGGUUGGGGAUGGACUCGCGGCUUAUCAGCUUGUUGGUGGGGUAGUGGCUUACCAAGGCUUUGACGGGUAGCCGGCCUGGGAGGGUGACCGGCGACAUUGGGACUGAGGUACGGCGCAGACUCCUACGGGAGGCAGCAGUGGGGAAUAUUGCACAGUGGGCGGAAGCCUGAGGCAGCAGCGCCGCGUGCGGGAUGACGGCCUUCGGGUUGUAAACCGCUUUCGCCGGUGACGAAGCGUGAGUGACGGUAAUGGGUAAAGAAGCACCGGCUAACUACGUG